UGUGUCACGCCUCUGUGGAGUCUGACUCAGUUUGGGUCUGACCCCUAAAAGGGAGGUGACUAGACUAGAGGGAGGGCAAGGCUGGUAGAGAUCCAUCUAACCGCUCUGCUGUGUAGAACAGAUUUUUGCGUUGAGUAGUUUUUAACUUCUACCAGGAAGUUUGGGCUAACUAUGCCUCUUCCUCUUUAACACCCAUAUGUGUGUUUUCUUGGCAGCAAUGUUCAUGGCUCCUGCUCAGAUGGCCUAUCCCACAGCUUACCCCAGCUUCUCUGGGGUUACACCACCUAACAGCAUCAUGGGCAGCAUGAUGCCCCCGCCAGUCGGCAUGGUAGCUCAGCCAGGAGCUUCUGGAAUGGUUGCCCCCAUGGCCAUGCCUGCAAGCUAUAUGGGGGGCAUGCAGGCUUCAAUGAUGGGUGUACCGAAUGGGAUGAUGACCACCCAGCAGGCAGGCUAUAUGGCAGGCAUGGCAGCUAUGCCCCAGACUAUGUAUGGGGUUCAGCCAGCUCAGCAGCUACAGUGGAACCUUACUCAGAUCCUUUCCGUGUAGAGAGGCCAGAGACAUACCUAGGCUUGCCUUUUUUUCUCUAGAAGGCCUGUUUGAAGUUAAACUUUCUUAGGAAUCCUGAGUUCCUGUGGAAUGAGACAUGUAGUCUAAAUCUGAGUCUCUCUAUAACUUCACAAAAGCAAAAACAGAGAAAGCUCUGCAGACAAACAAGGAAUACAAACCAAAUCAAGGAAUACAAACAUAACUAUGACUGUCACUGUCACAGACUUUGAAUGACAUGGCAGGAGGCGUAGAAACACCCGAAUCCGGAUGAACCAGCACCGCAGAAGGACCUGCAAAAAGAAGAGGGGGAGCAGCGGCCUAGGGGCAGCAGAGCACAGAUGAAGCCUCCUCCAGGAGGAGGGC
rnacentral:lncRNA from 1 species